CCCCUUCCUCCCUCUAUGGCACGCGGACCCACCCCACGGCCCUCUCCUCCCCCUCGCGCGUCGCGCGGCAGUCUGGGCACAACACGCCGCCGCCGUGGCACGGCUCGCCCAGCGCCGAGCCGGCUGCCCGCCUGACCGCCUCCCCACCUCUUCCCCUUCCUCGCAAGUGGAGCACCAGGAACCGUCGUGCCCCUCCCUCUUCCUCUCCCCCACUCUCGCUCCCCAUUGAGGUCACGCCAUUGAUGACGUUAAUGGCCGCCGCCGACCAUUACUUCCUCUCCGGCGCGCUCUCUCUCUUCUCUCUCUAUAAAAACUCAAUGCCACACCCAUGGACACUUCCCUCGGCCGCCGAGCUCGCCCACGCCUCUCCUCCCUCUUUGUCGUUGUACUUCGCCGCCGGCCGACCUUGGCUCGCCGUCCUCGACGUUCGUCGCCACUAGAACACCUCUGUCCACGUCCUCGCCACCGACUCGAGCUCGGAGCGCCACUAUCCACCUCCCUUGAUCGCCUCAUCCACCGCCGUCCGGAACUCCACUCGCUGUCAGCCCCUGAGCGCAAGAAACAGAGGGGGGAAGAAGCUGAUUUUGUGGUAGAAGAUCAGAAUACGUUCGAGGACGAUCCACAGGACACG
rnacentral:lncRNA from 7 species